rnacentral:rRNA from 1 species
AGAGUUUGAUCCUGGCUCAGGACGAACGCUGGCGGCGUGCCUAAUGCWUGCAAGUCGCACGCGCCACCUUCGGGUGGUGAGUGGCGCACGGCUGAGGAUCACGUGGGAACAUGCCUCCUUGUGGGGGACAACAGCGCGAAAGCGCUGCUAAUCCCGCAUACGCUCGUCAACAACGAGGAAAGCUUCUCAAAAAGCGCAGGGAGAGUGGCCCGCGGCCCAUCAGGUCGUUGGUGGGGUAAUGGCCUACCAAGCCGCUGACGGGUAGCUGGUCUGUGAGGACAGACAGCCAGACUGGGACUGAGACACGGCCCAGACUCCUACGGGAGGCAGCAGCAAGGAAUUUUCGUCAAUGGGCGAAAGCCUGAACGAGCAACGCCGCGUGGAGGAUGACGGCCUUCGGGUUGUAAACUCCUUUUUCGGGGGACGAUGAUGACGGUACCCCGGGAAUAAGGCUCGGCUAACUCUGUGCCAGCAGCCGCGGUAAUACAGAGGAGCCAAGCGUUGUCCGGAUUGACUGGGCGUAAAGCGCACGCAGGCGGUCGCGCGCGUGGGGUGUGAAAUCUGGCCGCUUAACGGCCAGGCGCCAUCCCAUACGGCACG